AAGAUUAAGCCAUGCAUGUCUAAGUGUAAACGACUUUAUACAGUGAAACUGCGAAUGGCUCAUUAAAUCAGUUAUAGUUUAUUUGAUAGUACCUUUUACUACUUGGAUAACCGUGGUAAUUCUAGAGCUAAUACAUGCUAAAAAUCCCGACUUUCAUGGAAGGGAUGUAUUUAUUAGAUAAAAACCAGCCCAGGGGCAACUCUGGUUCUUUUGGUGAUUCAUGAUAACUUCUCGAAUCGCAU
rnacentral:rRNA from 1 species